GAGUUAGUGCUUUUUUUCUCGUCUUUGAAGGCAGAUAGAACUUGAGAAGUCAAUUACUACUGAGAGUGAAAGCCUAGAGACUGAUGAAAGAACUCAGCACCCAAUAGCCUUCCUUGAAGCUUCACUGAGCACUAGUGUGUUGGUGGGCUGGCCUGAGCCAUGAGUGUCAUUUGAGAAAGAGCAAAACUCUAAUAAUCAAACAGUAAGAGAGGAAAGGACAUGAACCUUGGCCAUGGCUGCCAGUUUUACCACUGAGGAUACCCAUCCCUUUCCCUGUGUUUCUGCCUGCCUGGGACCUCUCUGCAUGUUACUUGAAUUGCUCUCCCUAUCAUGUUCUUCUUUGGUUCAUGCCUUUUAUCUUGUCAGAGUUGCGAAGACUUUCUGAUGAAGACAUGCUCACCAACCGAGAAAAGUCCUUCCCAGCAAAGGUAUGCUGUUCAAUGUUUAAUAACCAGCUCUUCAUGGAGACGGGGAAGUCCUGAUCUGCAGAACUUGCCAAUUUCUUUGGUGUGAAUAUUCCUGUUAUAGGUGAUUGCAAGUGAGUAGCUCACAAAAUUCCUGGAGAUUUAAUAAUUGGCUCUAACAUGCAGUUACAGAAUAGCUCCAGCAUACCACUAAAAAUAGGUAUUAAAUUUGUUUUAUAUAUUAUAGGGAAGAUCCAGUAUUCUUUAACAUAAAUUGAAACUAUAAUACAAAUUCAAUGGCUAUUCUUCUAAUUAUAUGACUACAUGUAUACACAAAUAAAUGAACAGGUGUGCAGAAAGAAGUUAAUGUAGCAGGCCUGAGACUGAUAUCCAGAAAAAAAAAAAAAAAAGGCUUACAAGGUUGGCCCGUGACUGGCUUUGGGGAACUUACAUUCUAGAAGGUUUCCCACUAUUCCCAAAACUCCACGUGGAAUCUCUUCUCCUCUGUAUUAUCACAGUAUAUUGAUAUACUUUCAUUAUGGAACUUAAUACAUUGCCGUAUUUCCAGGUCCCCUUAGCAAUCCCCAUUUUCACCCCCAGUUCCAAGACAACGAGCUUCCCAAGGGCAAAAGCCACUGCUGUUCUUUUUGUGAUUGUAGUGGGAAAUAGAAGGCCCAGCACCUACUAGGGCAUUGGGUUCUCUAAAUAGAUUGUAUUGCAUGGGGCAGGGACAUUUUAGGUCAUGAGAGAGGUUGACUAUGGUGUGAAAAAUGAAAGACUAUUUAGAUGGAGGGCCAAUUCUGAAGCUUUGUUGACAGUGAAGACAGAAACAGAUAUCCCUGUCCCUUCUCCUGUCUCUUAUCCAUACUGUGUUCUGGUGAAUGGGUUAUGGGACAUCUAUGUGCCCUUUCCUCAUUGUGUUUCCAAUGUCUACUGUGCUAUGGAUAUCUGAAGGGCCUCCAAUGUGCUUGAUCUUUCAUAGCACCCCAGGUGGCUGCUCAACUUUCCCAAUUCCCAUCAUAUGGAAGGCAGCAGAGCAGAAAGGUUGGGACAGAAACAAUACUAAUUAAAGGUCAUUGGAGAAAGGGUUCCUUCAUUAGGAGAUGACUUCAAGGAAUCAACAGGGAAGACAUGAAGUCUCUAAUUCUAUGAAAUUCAAGUCUCUAAUUCUAUGAAAUUCCAGACUUCCCCUUGUUGGCUAUUGUUUUCCCAUGUUUCAUUAAAACUGGUUUCAACACUUCAGUAACAUGGAAUUUGAAGGCUUGUCUUCCAUUUUCACUCAGUCAGGCAUGCCUAGCAUUUUACUGGUAGACUGAAGGAAUGCAGGUCACCCAAACAGGACAGAUGACUGGAAUAAUUUGAAAUCAUGCCUAGUCUUUUUUUUUUCUUCUCUCUUAGCUCAUGUACAGAAAUGUUGGAAGCUUAUUAACUUCUGGUAAGAAUAGUUAACAGCAAGGAUGAGAGAAAUGAAGCAUUCAGAUGAUUAAUAUAAA
rnacentral:lncRNA from 10 species